rnacentral:misc_RNA from 1 species
UUAUUUCUUGUAUUUGAUUCAGACACAAAGACUGAUUAAGGCAAAAAGGCGGCGCCCGAGGGCACCGAAGCACGUCUUGCUUCCACAGGUUUGCAAGGUUGAAGGCCAUACGGCCAUUCAGUAAUGAUCCCUCCGCAGGUUCACCUACGGAGA